GUGUGUGUGUGUGUGUGUGUGUGUGUGUGUGUGUGUGUGUGUGUGUGUGUGUGUGUGUGUGUGUGUGUGUGAGUUUGUAAAACCUACCAACCGGGGAAAAUCGUAUGAAUACACACCAACAAACCGGGGAACACCUACCAACCGGGGAAUUCCCCGGUUGGUUUUAGGCGAAAAUCUCUAAUCUACGUGUAUGAAAUACCAAACUGUCAAUUUAAAUUAGAAAUCCAACGCCUUCCCCGAUUAGCGGGUUUGUGGCAUGCACAAAAUAUACACAAAUAUUGACCAAAUUACAAUCGAGUGUGUAUCCAGGCUUAUAACAGUUCCCCGGUUGCGCUGUUUAAAAAUCAUACACUCGGUAUUUAUAUCAUUUAGUGAAAGUAAGUUGGAAAAAUGGAGUUUCGAGCGAACAAACGCAUUAAACUAAGGUAAGCUUUUUAAUUAUGUUUACAACUUUCAAUUGCUAUUAAAAAGCGUUUUUAUGUAAACUUUAAAGUAAUACUGGAAGACGAAUUCUAAAGAUCGAUUUAUAUUAAUAUCAUUUGAUUACAAAGCUUGUUUUACGGUACAUAUUUCACGAAUAUAUUUUUUAAAUAAACGUAAAACAAUGUAGAGCUCUAGACAGUUUUUCGUUAUAUAUAUAUAACGAAAACUGCCUAGAGCUCUACAGUGUUUUACGUUAUAUAUAUAUAUAUAGUGGAGCUAUCCUACUCACCCCGGCGUCGGCGUUAGCGUGAGCGUGAGCGUUGGAAUGUUAAAGUUUGCGUACCACCUCAAAUAUUGUCUAUGUCCCUUGACAUAUUGCUUUUAUAUUUAGCAUACUUCUUUACCAACAUGACCCCAAUCUAUAAACAAGAGCAGACAACUGUAACAAGCAUUUUGUAAGAAUUAUGGCCCCUUUUCCCACUUAAAAUAUGCAUAUUAUUGAUAAAUCUUUGUUAAAGUUUACGUACCACCGCAAUUACUUUCUAUGUCCCUUGACAUAUUGCUUUUAUAUUUUGCAUACUUCUUUACCAACAUAACCCCAAUCGAUAAACAAGAGCAGACAACUGUAACAAGCAUUUUGUAAGAAUCAUGGCCCCUUUUCCACUUAGAAUAUGCAUAUUAUUGAUAAAUCUUUAUUAAAGUUGCGUACCACCUCAAAUAUUUUCUUUGUCCCUUGACAUAAGGUUUCAUAUUUUGCAUACUUCUUUACCAACAUGACCCCAAUCUAUAAACAAGAGCAGACAACUGUAAAAAGCAUUUUGUAAGAAUUAUGGCCCCUUUUUUCACUUAGAAUAUGCAUACUAUUGGUUAUUCUAUGUUAAAGUUUGCGUACCACCUUAAAUAUUUUCUUUGUCCCUUGACAUAUUGCAUUCAUAUUUUGCAUACUUCUUUACCAACAUGACCCCAAUCUAUAAACAAGAGCAGACUACUGUAAACAACAUUUUGUAAGAAUUAUGGCCCCUUUUUUCACUUAGAAUAUGCAUAUUAUUAAUAAUUCUUUGUUAAAGUUUGCUUACCACCUCAAAUAUUUUAAUUGUCCCUUGACAUGCUGCUUUCAUAUUUUGCAUACUUCUUGACCAACAUGACCCCAACUUGAAAUACAAUCUUAUUAGUUUGUUUUAUAUCUUUACAAAUGUUCAAUACAUAUGUUUUGUGGAAACCUGAACUCAGAAUCGUCUAUAAUUAACCAUUUCUUUAAAACAUAAGCGAUCAAUAUGUUUGGCUUAAACUUAUUUAUUACGACAUAGUAACAUAUUCACAAGUAACAUGGCAUUGACAUAGGAUCCAUAUGUUUCAAUUAUGGUCCUCUUCCAGUUAGAAUAUGACUAUAGUACCUUGACCUUAUUGAAUAUGAACAAUUUCCCCAUGGUGGCUUACUUUAUACUGUCAAGCACUUGAAUAGUCGAGCGCGCUGUUUUCUGACAGCUCUUGUUGUUUUUCUCAUCGACAUUUCCAUUUUAACAUUUAGUAGCCAAAAGGGUCCAAGUCCCCUUGAUCUCGCAAGAACGUACUGUCAGAAUUACGUUGAUCCACCAGGUUUUGAAGUAAAAACCGUCAAUGAUGUCAUAGGCGAAGGAGUCUUUGCCACUUAGCCUUUUAAAAAAGGAGACUUUCUUCUCGAAUACAAAGGGGAUCUGAUAACACGAGUAAAACAUGCAAUUAGAAAAGGAGUAUGAACAGGAGGGUCAAGGCAGCUUCAUUUACUUUUUUAAAUACAGAGACAAAUCUUGCUGCAUUGACGCUACCAACGAUAUAUUCCACGAGGGUCGAAUGAUAAAUGAUGCCGAAAAUGGAGACGCAAAACAAAAUUGUGUAAUGAAAAUAGUUGAAGUCAACCAAACUCCCCAUCUAUGCACUUUCGCCGACAGAGACAUUGCAAUUGGCGAGGAACUCCGAUAUGAUUAUGGAGUACCAACACUUCCAUGGAGAAAGGCAACACAAUGACUACUAGAUCUACGGACAGCCAGGAACCAGGACAAACAACAUCAAUACACACGGAAGAAGUCAAUGAGACGAAAUGUACGGAACAAAAAAGGGCAACACAAUGACUACUAGAUCUACGGACAGCCAGGAACCAGGACAAACAACCCCCGUGCACACGGAAGAAGUCGAUGAGACGAAAAGAGUACUUCAAAUACCAGGAGAACAUAACAAGCAGCCAACAAUCAAUGGAGUGAAAACGAAAAAGGAGCUGUUCACAGACACUUUGAUCGUUUUUUGAUAAUGGGUAAAUUACCAGAGAAAAAAGAAAUACUUGCAUGAAUUGAAAGUGAGAAUGACCUUCGCAACAGAAGUUGGAAAAAUGUCAAAGACUUUUGCAGAAAUUUUAUUGAAACAAAAAAGCGACGGGGACUUUUAACUUAAAAAAAUAUUACACAUAUAAUGCACGUUUAGGAGAAUACGUUAAAGGAUGAAGUUGCCACAUUUUUUUGUGUUUUCUUGUUCUAUAUACUCUUUUCGAAAACGAUAUAUGUGUGCUUAUUGUAUUUGAAUGUUUUAUUAAUACGGUUCUGCCAAAAAACGAUAUUUGUUCAUAAUCUUAUCGCCGAACAAAUUAGGAUUGGUAUAUAGUUCGGCCAAUGAGUGUUUCUUUGUACUUUCUAUUACGAGUUUCUACGAGUUACUCACUAUACAAGUUAUUUUUUACCCUAAAUUUGUUGAAUAUGAAUGAAUAUAGCAAACAUGAUAACAAAUCAAUCUAGAAGGCUAAACGUUCAGAGAAGGCACACAAAAAAUUCAGUCGGAUAAAAUUUACAUUUUAAAUAAAAUAAAAAAACUACUGCUAAACUACUGCUAUAAUAUGAAGAAUACAAAUGAAUAUUUUGUCAAUUUUACAAAAUUUGUUUUGAAUGACAGGUGUCUGACUUGUAGUUGAGUACUUAAUAGUUAUUUUAAAGUAAACAUUUACCAAAAUGUAACUUAUUGCGUAAAUAUCGCACUAGAAUUGAUUAAAUAGUUGUUAAAUAUUACAAUAAUUUCCUACACAGAUUUUUGUGCAUUUGUUUUGCGUGUAGAUAUUCACAUUAGCUAUCAAUUCACAUAUUUGCUUUGUGUAUAUAAUUGGUAUGUUUAUAUAUAUUUUCAUAUCAAAAUUGCUUGAUCUACAAAAAUUCGCGAGGAGUUAUGCAUUUUUUCCCAUGUUUUUAUUGAAGUUUAUAAUUCAACGACGAUGAAAAUUACUAAGAUGCCAGAUUUAGUUAUGUUUUUUUUCUCAUUUAUGGUUAAAGAUCAAUUAACAUACCCAUUUCCCAGACUAAGAUAUUGUUAAAACAAUUUAUCGCGUUUGCGACUGACCUCUUUUAUGCAUUCUAACACAAGCUAUUUACUUGUUUUUUCGAAUACUCUUCAUAUACACACACUUAGAUUACCUAGAACACAACAUAUUUGAAACAUAUAUUUAUAUGUGAUGUGUAAAUGCAGGCACAAAGCUAAUAAUUAAUAAUGUUUAUACACUUUGCGAUAUGAUGCUAUACUGUCGGUUGUUUUAAGUGAUUAGUCAUUAUGUUAACCAUGUUAUCUGCCAUCUGAAAUGUAAUUAAGUGUUUUGACAUGUAUGCGAAAUUGAUCUUGUUCGAUUUGGUUCUGUAUAUUCAGAAUUGAGUCACACUGUUAUAAUUUUCCUGUUGGUACAUAUUAUUUUUAAGUUGGCACCAACAAGGGUUUAACAAUUGAUCCACAUGUGCACUCCCAGUAAGUAUAUAUACUAUAAUGUAAGUGAUUCAAAAUAAUAUUAAACUACGUGUUUGAUAAGUGUUUGCUUUGGUUCAUAUUUAAUUAUUAGUGUUUUUAUAUAAUGAUAAUGCUGUCAAAGUCAGCGGUGAUUAUACGUGUAUAACAACAUUAAUUAUUACUUUUAUAUUGUUUUCAACAAAUAACAUAUGGAUGACACAUCGGCAUAAUUUUUCAGUGCUUAAAAUACACUCUUUCUAUUAUAUUUUAUGCAAAAAUUAGGUACAUAAGUUGGUUAACAUUAAGGUAGUUUGAAAAAAAUACGUGAAUUCAAAUCUUAAAAAAGGUGUUUGGUUUGCAAGGGAAAACAAAGCGAUUGCCAGUGACUAUUUUCCUUAAAAUAUAAUCUGUUAUUUCGACAGGUAGAAUUAAAUGUAAGUUCAUUAUUAACGUUAACCCGUUUUUGGCAUUCUCUACUCAAACAAGUGCAUACAUACUGUAUUUUUUAAUACAGCACAUGUGUAAUGGUAUCACAGUUGUAGAAUUGGAAUACAUAUAUUAUAACAAUAACUACUGAUCAUUAUUCAGAUUGACCUACCGCCGUAGACUAAGUUACUGUCGCGUCAAAAUGCAUUGUUAUCAAGUCGUUUUGCUAGUUUACUUAACUAUUUAGUUUCUCAGGCCUCGCCACAUUCGUUGUGAAACGUUCAUGAUUGUUUAAAGUUACAGAUUUUAUUAUUUUUAAAAAUGCAAUAAAUGUAUUUAAAACAAUUUAAGUGAAGUGGAAGUUGCCAUGCGUGUGAAUGAAUUUUCUGAUGUUUACCUGUUUCAGGGGAUUAAUUUAAUUUAAAUGCAUGAGUUAUUUUAUAAUCUCAGAGUAAGGACAAAGAAAAUUUACACUACUCAAUCUAUAUGCAUAUGGGCAGUUCUACUUUUAGGAUAAAAAACUUCAUAGUAGGUGAAAAUCGUGAAUGCUUUUUUCUGAUGGAAAAAAGGAAUUAAACAAAUAAGCCGCCUCCCCUCUCCUUCAUUCGGUUUGACAAAUAGCGUGGCCUGAAAAAAAUAACAUUAUUUUUUAGUUUUAAGAACGAAUUGUAUUCAUUUGUUGAUUAAUUGCACCAUGAUUGUUAUGGUAUAAUGCAGCACUUGCAUGCUUGUAGUCGGCUUAUAGCUAAUGAAGUCAUUAAUGUAUUGUUUGAUUUGCGUUUUGUCUCUUAUUCUUAUUUUGAUGUGAAUAAUAUUUGAGUCAAUCAAAUAAGGCAUUUUUGUAUAACUUAUAUAAGGUCAUAUGAUAAACAUAUUUAAUUUAAAUAUUGUUUCAUACAUAUUCUUUUCAAUUUUUGUACUAACUUAAAUAUUAUCCAUGAACGUGCACGCCAUUGUCCUAUUAACAACGGUACCAAGAUUACACACAAUUACCCCUGUUGGUAAACGCAAAUUCCCCGUUGGACAUUAUUGAAGCUCCACGGUGAUAGCGCGCUUAAGUUCCUCUCUUGGUUAACACAAUUCCCCUGUUGGCACACAUUAAAGUUCAACGGUUGGUACGCACAUAGCACCCCUGCUGGUAUACACCGUUCCCCAGUUGGAACACAUUGAAGUGCCACAGUUGGAACGCACUAAGUUCCCCUGUUGGUACACAUUGAAGUUCCACAGUUGGUACGCACUUAGUACCCCUGUUGGUAUACACCGUUCCCCAGUUGGCACACAUCGCAGUUCCUCAUUUGGUACGCACAUAAUUCCCCGGUGUGCAUGUAAAAUUUUCUUUGAUUUAUUACCCUAUUUAUCAUAAUUUUUAUGUCAAAAUCGUAUUUUAGGUUCGAAACUUGUAUGUUCUUUAUCACUUUAAGCUUUCUAGAAUAUGUGGAAAUGGUGGUCCCCGGUUGGUAGGUUUAGAACACAUUUCCCCGGUUGGAAGGUUUUACAAGUAUGUGUGUGUGUGUGUGUGUGUGUGUGUGUGUGUGUGUGUGUGUGUGUGUGUGUUUGUGUGUGUGUGUGUGUGUGUGUGUGUGUGUGUGUGUGUGUGUGUGUGUGUGUGUGUGUGUGUGUGUGUGUGUGUGUGUGUGUGUGUGUGUGUGUGUGUGUGUGUGUGUGUGUGUGUGUGUGUGUGUGUGUGUGUGUGUGUGUGUGUGUGU